rnacentral:rRNA from 1 species
UUCGAUUCGUGGCUCAAGAACGAACGCUGGCGGCAUGGAUUAGGCAUGCAAGUUGAACGAACUCCUUCGGGAGUGAGUAGCGGAAGGGUGAGGAACGCGUGAGUAAUCUGCCCCCCAGUUGGGAAUAACAGUUGGAAACGACUGCUAAUACCGAAUGUGGCUUAAGCUUCGCCUGGAGCUUUUGGCUAAAGAUUUAUCGCUGGGGGAUGAGCUCGCGUCCCAUUAGGUAGUUGGUGAGGUAACGGCUCACCAAGCCGACGAUGGGUAGCUGGUCUGAGAGGAUGGUCAGCCACACUGGGACUGAGACACUGCCCAGACUCCUACGGGAGGCUGCAGUCGAGAAUCUUGGGCAAUGCGCGAAAGCGUGAACCCCCAGCAAUGCCGCGUGUAUGAUGAAGGCCCUCGGGUCGUAAAGUACUGUCUCCCGUGACGAAAUUUGACGGUAGCGGGGAAGGAAGCCACGGCUAACUACGUGCCAGCCGCUGC